GACGAACGCUGGCGGUGUGCUUAACACAUGCAAGUCGAACGGAAAGGCCCUGCUUGUGUGGGGUGCCCGAGUGGCGAACGGGUGAGGAACAGGUGAGUAACCUGCCCUUGACUUUGGGAUAACUUCAGGAAACUGGGGUUAAUACCGUAUAGGAGCUCCUGCUGCAUGGUGAGGGUUGGAUAGUUUCGGCGGUUGGGGAUGGACUUGCGGCUUAUCAGCUUGUUGGUGGGGUAGUGGCUUACCAAGGCUUUGACGGGUAGCCGGCCUGAGAGGGUGAACGGCCACAAUGGGACUGAGAUACGGACCAGACUCCUACGGGAGACAGCAGGGGGGAAUAUUGCACAAUGGGCGGGAGCCUGAUGCAGCAACGCCGCGUGCGGGAUGACGGCCUUCGGGUUGUAAACCGCUUUCGCCUGUGACGAAGCGUGAGUGACGGUAAUGGGUAAAGAAGCACCGGCUAACUACGUG
rnacentral:rRNA from 1 species